rnacentral:rRNA from 1 species
AGCGAACGCUGGCGGCAGGCCUAACACAUGCAAGUCGAGCGGGCACUUCGGUGUCAGCGGCAGACGGGUCAGCAACACGUUGGAACGUACCCUUCGGUUCGGAAUAACGCUGGGAAACUCGCCCUAAUACCGGAUCCGCCCCUUUGGGGAAAGGUUUACUGCCGAAGGAUCGGCCCGCGUCUGCUUAGAUGGGUGUUGGGGUAAUGGGCUACCAAGGCGCAGAUCAGUAGCUGGGCUGAGAGGAAGGUCCGCCACACUGGGACUGGGACACGGCCCAGACUCCUACGGGAAGCAGCAGUGGGGAAUAUUGGACAAUGGGCGCAAGCCUGAUCCAGCCAGGCCGGGUGAGUGAUGAAGGCCUUAGGGUUGUAAAGCUCGUUUGUCCGGGACGAUAAUGACGGUACCGGAAGAAUAAGCCCCGGCUAACUUCGUG